UACGGGGGGGGCAAGCGUUGUUCGGAAUUACUGGGCGUAAAGGGCUCGUAGGCGGCCAACUAAGUCAGACGUGAAAUCCCUCGGCUUAACCGGGGAACUGCGUCUGAUACUGGAUGGCUAGAGGUUGGGAGAGGGAUGCGGAAUUCCAGGUGUAGCGGUGAAAUGCGCAGAUAUCAGGAGGAACACCGGUGGCGAAGGCGGUCUCUGGGCAAUGACUGACGCUCGAGGCGCGAAAGCGUGGGGAGCGAACCGG
rnacentral:rRNA from 1 species